UGCUGUUUUGAGAGUUAUUUUGUUAUUUCUAUCCCAAGCAGUUAGAUGCUGUUUUUUCAAAACAAUGUAAUAUUUUUGCAUAUUUAUUAUAUAUGUCCGAACCGAUAGGCUGUAUUGCUCCAGCCAACUUACUGUUGUGGUAGCUGCAUUCUGGGGCAUCUCAGUUGUUAGUAGCUGGCUAGCAGGACUUCACAGGACCUAAGGAGAAUUGUUUCAAAGUUUCAAAUUCACAAAUUGAGUCUCAAGAUUUACAGGAUAAAUCAUCCCAGCAUCUUUUAAUACUUUGAAAAGCUUAUAAUAGGCUAAUAUUUACAUCUUCUACAGAACGACAUAUAUUUCUCUAAAGGAGAAAGAUUUACAGAGAUGUCUGCUGCAGAUCAGUGUGUAGUAAUAACCUGCUGUAACUUCAAGUAGUUGAAAAACUAAAUUAGAAAGGGGUAAAUCAUAACUAGAGUUUAGUUUCCCUGAAUGUCGUAGACUGGAACACAAAUACUUGUGCUCUCCAUUUUAUGCUUUUGUUUUUCCAAGAACAGAAUAUUAUGUUAUGUCACUCUUGGCUCAACUAUCGUGUGCUGCCAGAUAGGUGGGAGAAAGAUAAAUGUAUGUUUCUGAUAUGAGAGUCAGCAAUAAAACAGUCCUGAUAAUAGGCCCAAGGGAUUAAGAUGAAUAGGAAAAUGUCACAUUUAUGGAUAGUUUCAUUCUUUUCUAUGUACUAAUUUAAUUAUCAUGGUGGUCUAGUAUGUUUUAUGAUAUAUUGGCAUUUCUGUGUUUUUAUGCAUUUUAAUUUGUGCCUACCUAUGUACUAUACCAGGGAUAGGCAACCAAUGGCACACGAGCUGAUUUUCAGUGGCACUUACACUGUCCGGGUCCUGACCACCAGUCCGGGGGGCUCUGCAUUUUAAUUUAAUUUUAAAUGAAGCUUCUUAAACAUUUUAAAAACCUUCUUUACUUUAUUUACAACAAUAGUUUAGUUAUAUAUUAUAGACUUAUAGAAAGAGCCCUUCUAAAAACAUUAAAAUGUAUUACUGGCACGUGAAACCUUAAAUUAGAGUGAAUAAAUGAAGACUUGGCACCCCACUUCUGAAAGGUUGCCAACCCCGUGUACUGCACAUUCAUGCUCUAACUUUAUGGAGAAUUAUGCAUUGUGAGAAAUCAGUGGAACUGCUCUCAAGAAAGAAAGUUCAUCUUUGCAGGAUUGGGGCUUUAGAGAAUAUUUUUCAUAUGGCCUAUCCUUGAUCAAUAAAGUUAAAAUGUUACUUUCACUAAGUACUGGACUUAGUUUAGGAUUCUUUUAAAGAAAAUGUUUCUUUACAGUCAUGUCAGAAUUUUUUUUGAACCUUCACUUCCACACUACUUUGAAAAUUGUUAAUAUAUUUCUGACUUCACAAGCACAAGAACAUGGAAUUCUGCUGUAAACUGACUUAGAAAUAUAUAUAUGUUUGCUGAUUUACAGUAUUUAAUUAUAUUUAAUAUAUUUUCAUUGAUUUAUUUGUGAAAUAUUAAUAGUAAUGUAGCUAUUGAAAGAGUUAAUGUUCUAAUUGUAAGUAUUUAUAUAAUCCUGGUUAUUAAAUCUAUUAUAAUUGA